GUAAAGCUCCGGCGGUUUGAGAUGAGCCCAUGUCCUAUCAGGUUGUUGAUGGGGUAAUUGCCUACCAAGCCUAUGACGGGUAGCUGGUUUGAGAGGAUGAUCAGCCAGACUGGGACUGCGAUACGGCCCAGACUCCUACGGGAGGCAGCAACUAGGAAUCAUGCGCAAUGGACGAAAGUCUGACGCUGCGACGUCGCGUGAGGGAUGAAGGUCUUAGGAUCGUAAACCUCUUUUAUCUGGGAACAAGUUCUGAGUGUACCAGAUGAAUAAGUGCCUGCCAACCACGUGCCAGAAGCAUCGGUAAUGCGUGGGGCACGAGCGUUAUCCGGAUUUACUGGGCGUAAAGAGAUGCGUAGGCGCCUUUUUAAGUCACUUGUAAAAUCUCCCCGCCCAACGGGGAAACUGCAAGUGAUACUGAAUUGGUUGAGUCAAGUAGAGGAGAGGGGAAUUCCUGGUGGAGCGGUUAAAUGCGUUGAUAUCAGGAGGAAUACCAAGUGCGAAGGCACCUCUCUGGACUUGUACUGACGCUAAGGCUCGAAAGUGUGGGGAGCAAAACGGAUUAGAUACCCGUGUAGUCCACACUGUAAACGAUCCCUGCUAGAUGUUUGC
rnacentral:rRNA from 1 species